AUUCCAGCUCCAAUAGCGUAUAUUUAAGUUGUUGCAGUUAAAAAGCUCGUAGUUGGAUUUCGGUUGGAAGCGGCCGGUCCGCCGUUUGGUGUGCACUGGCUGGUUCCAACUUCCUGCCGAGGACGCGCUCCUGGGUUUAACGAUCUGGGACGCGGAGUCGGCGUGGUUACUUUGAAAAAAUUAGAGUGUUCAAAGCGGGCUUACGCUUGAAUAUAUUAGCAUGGAAUAACACUAUAGGACUCCUGUCCUAUUUCGUUGGUCUCGGGACGGGAGUAAUGAUUAAGAGGAACAGUUGGGGGCAUUCGUAUUUCAUUGUCAGAGGUGAAAUUCUUGGAUUUAUGAAAGACGAACUUCUGCGAAAGCAUUUGCCAAGGAUGUUUUCAUUA
rnacentral:rRNA from 1 species